rnacentral:rRNA from 1 species
AUUGAACGCUGGCGGUAUGCUUAACACAUGCAAGUCGAACGGUAGCAGGCCUUCGGGCGCUGACGAGUGGCGGACGGGUGAGUAACGCGUAGGAAUCUGCCUCAUAGUGGGGGACAACGUGUGGAAACGCACGCUAAUACCGCAUACGCCCUACGGGGGAAAGCGGGGGACCUUCGGGCCUCGCGCUAUGAGAUGAGCCUGCGUUAGAUUAGCUAGUUGGUAGGGUAAAGGCCUACCAAGGCGACGAUCUAUAGCUGGUCUGAGAGGACGAGCAGCCAGACUGGGACUGAGACACGGCCCAGACUCCUACGGGAGGCAGCAGUGGGGAAUAUUGGACAAUGGGCGCAAGCCUGAUCCAGCAAUACCGCGUGUGUGAAGAAGGCCCUAGGGUUGUAAAGCACUUUCAAUAGGGAGGAAAACCUGUCGGUCAAUACCCGGCAGCUUGACAUUACCUAUACAAGAAGCACCGGCUAACUCCGUGCCAGCAGCCGCGGUAAAAC